AGGGGACGUGGAUAACCUCGGGAAACUGAGGAUAAACCGCGAUAGGUCACUACUUCUGGAAUGGGUAAUGACCCAAACCUAUAUGGCCCCUGGAUUGGACUGCGGCCGAUCAGGCUGUUGGUGAGGUAAUGGCCCACCAAGCCUGUAACCGGUACGGGCUCUGAGAGGAGGAGCCCGGAGAUGGGCACUGAGACAAGGGCCCAGGCCCUAUGGGGCGCAGCAGGCGCGAAACCUCUGCAAUAGGCGAAAGCUUGACAGGGUUACUCUGAGUGAUUUCCGUUAAGGAGAUCUUUUGGCACCUCUAAAAAUGGUGCAGAAUAAGGGGUGGGCAAGUCUGGUGUCAGCCGCCGCGGUAAUACCAGCACCCCGAGUGGUCGGGACGUUUAUUGGGCCUAAAGCAUCCGUAGCCGGUUCUACAAGUCUUCCGUUAAAUCCACCUGCUCAACAGAUGGGCUGCGGAAGAUACUAUGGAGCUAGGAGGCGGGAGAGGCAAGCGGUACUCGAUGGGUAGGGGUAAAAUCCGUUGAUCCAUUGAAGACCACCAGUGGCGAAGGCGGCUUGCCAGAACGCGCUCGACGGUGAGGGAUGAAAGCUGGGGGAGCAAACCGGAUUAGAUACCCGGGUAGUCCCAGCUGUAAACGAUGCAGACUCGGUGAUGAGUUGGCUUUAUGCCAACUCAGUGCCGCAGGGAAGCCGUUAAGUUUGCCGCCUGGGGAGUACGGUCGCAAGACUGAAACUUAAAGGAAUUGGC
rnacentral:rRNA from 1 species